rnacentral:lncRNA from 1 species
UAUAGAUGAUCUGAAGCGAAUGCAGCAAGCAAACAAAGCGGAAAUUAUUAAGUCAAGAAUGGAUAACAUUGAUGCAACACUUUCUCCAGACCUACUGUUCUUGGUAAAGCAAUCCCGAGACAAAGGAGCGAGUUCCUGGCUAAAUGCGAUUCCACUCAAAGAUCAAGGUCUAGCCCUCAAUCAGCAAGAAUUCAGAGACUCGUUACGAAUGAGAUACAAUUUAACUUUGAACGAUUUACCAAGUCAUUGUGCGUGUGGAGAUCGCUUUAACAUCAAUCAUGCCCUCUCUUGUAAAAAAGGUGGGUUCGUGGCACAAAGGCACGAUGGAAUCCGUAAUUUGCUAACAGCGCAACUGGAUAAAGUGUGUAAGAAUGUGGAAAUUGAGCCUCAUCUUCAACCCCUUGAUAAUGAGAGAUUUGACUUGAGAUCGGCCAAUAUAAGUCCCGAAGCGAGAUUGGACAUGAAGGCGGACGGUUUCUGGCUACGUGGAGCUACUGCAUUUUUUGACGUAAGAGUAACGCAUGUAAACUCCCGAUGUAACCAAGGCCGGCCAACCCAGAACACUUUUAAGGAACACGAGAACGAAAAGAAGAGAAAAUACCAACAGAGAGUUUUAGAUGUUGAAAUGGGCUCCUUUACCCCACUUGUUCUUGGAACCAAUGGUGGAAUGGGGUCUGAAUGCCACAAGUUUCUUACUCAGCUGGCGCAGAAAUUAGCAGCAAGAGACCAUGAACGUUAUGCAGUUUUCAUAGCUUGGUUGAGAACCAGAAUCUCUUUCGAAAUUCUAAGAUCGGUACAUGCGAGUGUAAGGGGAUCUAGAUCACCUUUCUAUAGAAAAGAACUUGAAGUGGUAGACGAUUUUGGACUAAAUGUUAAGAUUGCAGAGGUUUUUUAAAGUUUCUUAAACUUUAACUUUACGUGCGAAGUACUCCUUUUCUAUAAAAAUUAGGAAGAACAACAAUCAUUAUGACAUUCGAAGAGUUUAAACAGCCCAUUGGAAAAUGCAUGGUGAUUAGAAUAGUUAAUUUUGAUCUAGUUUUAUUUAAAAUUCUUUUAAAUAAGUAUAUAGUUAAUUUGAAUAAAUAGAAUUAUGUGACUGUCUUCUCUCGGUGCUGCCUAUGGCGGUAUCGUUGGAGAUCCUUCGGGAUCUUUCUAAAAACUCUCCUCUCUGCUACCUCAAUUAGGGGCGCGGCGGGGGUUUGUUAUUCUUCCCCAAAGUGCCCCCGGGUUGUGGUAGCAACCUCUUUUGUCUUCCUUUUUAAUUUAUGAUCAGUCUAAUCAAUAUAUGCAAAUGAAUCUUAUUAUAAAUAUGAGAGCCCAACAUAUAACAUUUAAGAAAGCCAUCAAAACAAUUGAAGUUUAAAAGUAAUGAUGACUUUCUUUAAGGUUAUAUGUUGGGCUCUCAUAUUUAUAAUAAGAAUCCGUUUUCCGCCUGGCAAAUCUCUAGCUACGAUAUAUGCAAAUGAAGUUUACGUAAUCGUAUCUAUGAUGUAAUAAUUUAUGCUGAACCUAACACAUGCGCAGUUCACGACGAGCUUCUCUCUCGAUCUAUUCAAUAUGGUGGUCAAUCAAGAAAUGUUUUUGCUUGCAAAAAGAUCGUAAAUUGUUGGCGCUACAAGCUCGGAAAGAUUGUAAAUGAGAUCAGGCUUUUAUCAGCUCACAGAAUAACAAGAAGGAAGCAUCCAAACAAAUUCAUUUGUAACAUGGUGGAUAACAAAGUCCUUUCUUGAAAACCUACUUCAGUCAUUUUACGAUUAAAAGUCCAGCGAGAAAUGAAGUGAAAGGCGAUUUGAAAACCACGAGAUUGUUUUUGCCAAUGUUUUGAUCUGAAGGCUUAAAGAACCAUUUUUACAAUAUUGGAGAUAUGUAGUGGAAUAAAUGCCUGGAAAGACAAUUAUUGUCUGACAAUAUAAACUAUAAAUUGAAACCGGAAUGCAAUGAUAAGAAAGGGAAAUAUGGAAUAAAUGCCUGGAAAUACAAUAUAAACUAUAAUUUUAAACUGGAAUGCAAUGAUAAGAAAGGGAAAUAAACUAUUGCUAAGUCUAAAGAACCACUGAAGCUGAAGAAUUGAGAUACAACAAUCUUUGACUGACUUUAGAUUGGUGGCGAUCGAAGGUGGACAGCAAGAUCGAAGCUCAGCAAGAUUGAAGAUUGUUCGAAGAAGAAGGAGUUCGCCGUUGACUAAAAGGUUUAUCUGAACAGCUAGUUGUCAAGAUGAAUGCGAAGACUCGCCCGGCCAAAUUCAAAAUGGCGAUGCCAAAGAAAACCAUCCACCUGGACCGUUCGCAGACCUUUCUGGGCAAGAUUGUUGUGCUGUCUGGUCAAAGUUAAGUAUUUUACUUUGAUGUUUGUGUGCCUUCGGCUAAUUGUUGGCCAGAAAUGACAAAAAGCCAUAUACAAUAUGAAAUAUUCUGCGUACAAGGUUAUCUAAAAUUUCGAACUUAAUUCUGCCUGCAAUGAUGAUAAUUUUUUACUGAAAAUUUAUGUCAUGAGCAACUUCCGCACCUAUAGACUGAAGCAGAACUGAACAUUUUGUCAUUAACGUUUAUCUCAACAGCCAGUUAUCAAGACGAACGUCAAGAGAACAGUUGAAAUA